UACGUAGGGUGCGAGCGUUGUCCGGAAUUAUUGGGCGUAAAGAGCUCGUAGGCGGCUUGUCGCGUCGUUCGUGAAAACCCACAGCUCAACUGUGGGCUUGCGGUCGAUACGGGCAGGCUGGAGUUCGGUAGGGGAGACUGGAAUUCCUGGUGUAGCGGUGAAAUGCGCAGAUAUCAGGAGGAACACCGGUGGCGAAGGCGGGUCUCUGGGCCGAUACUGACGCUGAGGAGCGAAAGCGUGGGGAGCGAACAGG
rnacentral:rRNA from 1 species